GGCGAUGUAGCUCAGCCGGUCAGAGCAAGCGGCUCAUAUCCGCUGUGUCCGGGGUUCAAGUCCCUGCAUCGCCACCC
rnacentral:tRNA from 2 species